GGUCUAGGCUGUGAGUGUCCCAGGUGGGUUUCCUCAGUCAGCUGUGAUUUCCUUGGCUGUCCAGCCUCCUCCAUCCCCCUUGCCUAACAGUCCCUGGUUCCUUUGGGUGAAGGAGCUCUCCCUUCUGGGUGUAGGAGUGAGGGGCUGUUAAUCACAAUGCUGGCCAUUGAGCAGGCCAGGCCAGCCAGAUGCUGUUUGGGGGGAGUUAAUCUCCUUGCUCCUGCUGAUGCACGCUGGCCAGUCCUACAGCUCCUUCGGAGGAUAAAUGCUCUCUUCAUUUGCUGCCCUCCCCAUGAUUGUUCACUUUCAUUGUCCUGAGCGGUCUCUAUACAGUCUUCAUUCUAGAAAAAUCGGGAGUUGGGUGGGGGUGGUAGCUCUCUCUUCCAACAAGGGGCAGAAAGACUUUUCUGCAAACCCAGUAGGUUCAGGGGGCAUCUGGAGUUCAAAGUUCUCAUGUACAUCUACCUAGAUAGCCCCAUGCUGAGUUUGAAGGCCUUGACUUUGGCAUAAGAGACCAUCCUGAGCUUAGAAUUCAGUGUUCUCUGAAGUUCUGCGAUUCAUAAAAUCAGGUCUGUACCAGACCUUCCUUGCUGUCUGCCUGGCUCACUCCUGUCACGUCCCAGCACUUUGGGAGGCCAAGGCGGGCGGCUCAUGAGGUCAGGAGUUCGAGACCAGCCUGGCCAACAUAGUGAAACCCCGUCUCUACUAAAAAUGCAAAAAAUUAGCUGGGCAUGGUGGCAGGCACUGUAAUCCCAGCUACUUGGGAGGCUGAGACAGGAGAAUCACUUGAAUCCGGGAGGCAGAGGUUGCAGUGAGCUGAGAUCGCGCCAUUGCAUUCCAAUCCCGGGUGACUGUGUGAGACUCCAUCUCAAAAAAAAAACGGAGGAAAAAGGUCUUGUGAGUAAUAAAUGUUGUCUGGAGCAGACCUCAGGAGAAGAGGUGAGAGUCUGUCUGUGCUGGUAUCACCUCCAAUCUCCUUCCCUGUGAUCUCAGUUCCUCUUCCCUGGUUGAUGAGAUUCUUGGGGAUGGGAUUCAUGAUGAUCAAAUUUCUUUUGAGGAUUUGUUUUUGGGCAGAUGAGGGAGGCUCAGAGAAAAGCCUCUCCCUGCAUGUGCUAUUUCCCAAGUGCUCUCAGUUUGAAGUCAGUGGCAACCAGUAGCAUAUUUCCUGAAGGCCUUCAGCAUCCACUAAACCAGUCAACUGUUCCCAUUUGUUUCCUGAAUAGCAAACACUUCCUUGAAAUCCUUCUCAAAUUCAGCCUCCAGUCUAAGUCCCAUUUGGCCAAAAUCCUUAUACUGAGGUCCCCAACACUGGCCUCAGCAUAUCAGAGGAGGUGUCCCUGAGAGCACAGAGAGCAUUUACCUCCUGCUGCCAGCGUCUCCCACUGCUCUCUGGAUCACACUGCUGGGUCCCAGUACCCGAUGAACCUGCUCCUUCCCCAUCUAGACACAAGCAGACAUUCUGCUGGAGAGUGCGCAUGGCAGGUGGAAGGUCCCUUAAAGGAUGAAAGAGAGGUGCCUGCAUGUCACUUACUUCUCACUUUCCACAGGUGGGAUGUGGCAGUCCUCAUGGAAGACUCUUGAACAAGUGUCGCAACAGAACAGCUCCCCUCCGUCCCGGCACACCUCACACUCAUCCAAGUUUCUCAUCUAGAAGGUAAAACAGUGUCCACGUCACUGGGAAUCACAAGAUUCAGGAAGGCCACCCCUCUGGGCAUCUAGAACACACUGCUUAUGUGUGAGCCUGUAUAGACAGGCAUAUGCUUCUCCCUGGGAUAUGAAGGAAAAAUAUGGCAUGGAGAUUUCAGAACAAAUCCUGGUCUGCAGUGAAGUUCAGGAGGAAGGGGUAUAUGUCAGAAUAAAAACGUUUUCCUUAUAAAACCAGAGAUUAUGACACAGAAAGCCUAGCAACAAAGCAAGAGGAUGAUCUUAUAGGAAUCUGAAUAAUUGUAUUAUGCUGCAGAUAAAACCAGGUUUUGAAGUAAAGUGUUAAAUCCAUUUGUCUAUACUACAAAUCAACUCAUGAAAGGGAGACCCAGAGAAUUACAUAUGAUGGAAUAACCUUCUAAGAUAUCAUCACAUCCCAUAUUCUUGGCCAUAAGUUCCCCAUGAGUUGAAGACAGGGCCUAGUUAGGGGUUCCUAGGCUGUAGGUUUUGUGCCUAGAGGGCUGUGCACCUACCUUUGAGGGGGAAGGACCAUGAGUACACAUGACCAGGUGGGCCACAGGGAGCACAGAGCUCUUCGGCUCUGGGAUCCUGGCAGAAGAUCUCCCAUGACUUAGCUAAUUUGGAUUGUAAGGUGCAAAGGUGUCAUCUCUAAUGACCAAGGACCAUGGUAACAGUACCAUACAGUGUUGAAGAUGGAGACCCUCUCCUCAUUUCCUGGGCCCAUAAAAGAGCUGGUGCUUUGUUCUAUAAAAGGAAUGGUAAAUCAAUGAAUUCUCCAUUUCUCACAAGUCUCAAUAUGUGAGACCUUUAGCAAGAUUUAAUUUCAUUUGGGGAAAUUAAAAUAUGAUAGUAUUUGCAUCCAUGUGUUGUGGAACAAAUCCCAGUCAUUAAAAACCAACAGAAUUUAUAGAGCAAAUAUAGAGACCAAUACAUUAUAUGCUGUA
rnacentral:lncRNA from 1 species